UACGUGCAGGGCUUGGCUGACUAUGGGUGGCGCAUUUGCGGGCUGUGUGCGCCGAGACGCUUGGCGCAGCAGCGUGAACCUGGUUUUGAGGCCAGCUUGCUGGUACCCGAACUUGGGGGAACGCUAUUUGCUCUGGGUGUAUCAAAUGAACAUGGCUUACGGGCUAAGUUGGGUGUCAAGCUGUUUGCCGGUGGCGGUCACAUGUGGACACGUGCUGUGUAGGCGGUUUGAUCUCUGACCAGCCAACAUGUUCUUUCUCGGUGUAAGAGCUGGUCAUCUCUCCGACCCGUCUUGAAACACGGACCAAGGAGUUUAUCGUGUGCGCAAGUCAUUGGGCGUUGAAAACCCAAAGGCGCAAUGAAAGUGAAUGUCUCCGCAAGGAGCUGAUGUGCGAUCCUGGUCUCUUCGGAGGCCAAGCGCAGCAUGGCCCCAUCCUGACUGCUUGCAGUGGGGUGGAGGAAGAGCGUACGCGGUGAGACCCGAAAGAUGGUGAACUAUUCCUGAGCAGGAUGAAGCCAGAGG
rnacentral:rRNA from 1 species